rnacentral:rRNA from 1 species
ACUCGAGUGGCGAACGGGUGAGUAACACGUGGGUGAUCUGCCCUGCACUUCGGGAUAAGCCUGGGAAACUGGGUCUAAUACCGGAUAGGAGCCAUUUUUAGUGUGAUGGUUGGAAAGUUUUUUCGGUGUAGGAUGAGCUCGCGGCCUAUCAGCUUGUUGGUGGGGUAAUGGCCUACCAAGGCGGCGACGGGUAGCCGGCCUGAGAGGGUGGACGGCCACAUUGGGACUGAGAUACGGCCCAGACUCCUACGGGAGGCAGCAGUGGGGAAUAUUGCACAAUGGGCGCAAGCCUGAUGCAGCGACGCCGCGUGGGGGAUGACGGCCUUCGGGUUGUAAACUCCUUCGCUAGGGACGAAGCUUUUUGUGACGGUACCUAGAUAAGAAGCACCGGCUAACUACGUGCCAGCAGCCGCGGUAAUACGUAGGGUGCGAGCGUUGUCCGGAAUUACUGGGCGUAAAGGGCUCGUAGGUGGUUUGUCGCGUCGUCUGUGAAAUUCCGGGGCUUAACUCCGGGCGUGCAGGCGAUACGGGCAUAACUUGAGUACUGUAGGGGUAACUGGAAUUCCUGGUGUAGCGGUGAAAUGCGCAGAUA